AGACCCUUCUUAAAUAUUAUCGUGUAUACCAGCUUUAUUAUUUAGCUCUGCAAUACUGCUAAAUUGGUCAAUUACUUCCCUGCCUCCCCACCCUCCAACUGAAUUCUCACCACCCUUGAGGGAAAACAGUCUGGGUUCCCUGUGGAACAUCAUUUCUCAAAACUGUAUUUUGGGGCUUGCUUUCUCAUUUUUCCUUUCCAUUUCAGAUAUCCUUACUGCUGUCUUUGGGCUCUUUAAACACUGCCUUUUUUCCUUUUUCGAUCACACCCAAAAACUUUUCUCAAAAAUUACAUGUAAAUUUAAAAAUUUACAAAUUAAAUUUAAAAUUGAAAUUUUAAAAAUCCCGACUCUCCCUAAUUUCAGGAAGCAUGCAUUUAUUAUACAUAACAAGACGUGAAAGCCGCAAGAGUUUCAGCCUAAACACUGAAGACCCCGCGAAGUGAAUCCAGCUGCUGCUCUACAAGCAGCAACAACAACUGGGAAGCCUUCUCAGCUACACUUCGGGGCACUGGUCCAACCCCACGCAAAAUCCCUCGUUUCCCUUAGCGUGCAGAACCACGGGCACGGUGAUGAUGGUGACAAGCGCAGCAGCACCCAGCAGUCCCAGAAGAACCUUCCACGGUGUCUGCAAGCCGAGCAGAUCAAGUCCAAUUAGAGGGAAGCGUGUGGCCCCAGUUUCCGUAGGAGGGUCGGGGCUGCUCCAGAGGCAGCAGGAUUUGCAGGAAGGAAGACUGUACACAGAGAAUAAAUAACUUGGCCAAGCCAUUCAGCUAGGAAGUUGUAGAUCCUAAAUUAAGAGUUCAAGGUCUUAAUGGCUACUCUAUGCGGCCUCUCAUAGUCUUUUCAAGGGUUUUGGAGAAGAAUAAAAGAUCAGGUAUGGCUUCUCCCUCCCCCAGCUCUCUAUUGUUCCCUAAAGGAUUAUUCAUUCGUUCAUUCAUUCCUACAUCCUCCCAUUUAUUCCAGUCAUCCACAGAUGUUUGAGUGGUUACAAUGUGCCAGCCUCCCUUCUAGGUACUGGAGAUAAAGUGGGACAAGAGAGGUGAGGUCUGGACCCUUGGCACUUUCACGAUAAAAUACACAGGUAAACAUUUGCCUUUAGGGCCCCCUG
rnacentral:lncRNA from 1 species